GGGAAGGUGGCUCAGUGUGUAGAGCGCUUGCCUUGCAUGCAUGCAGCCCUGGGUUCGAUUCCUCAGCACCCA
rfam:Dipodomys ordii contig_15170, whole genome shotgun sequence.